rnacentral:rRNA from 1 species
AUUGAACGCUGGCGGCGUGCCUAAUACAUGCAAGUCGAGCGAAGCGGCGGAUGGGUGAGUAACGCGUGGGUAACCUGCCCUUAAGUCUGGGAUACCAUUUGGAAACAGAUGCUAAUACCGGAUACUAAAGGAUGGACCUGCGAUGCAUUGGCUAGUUGGUAAGGUAACGGCUUACCAAGGCGAUGAUGCAUGUCCGAGUGGAGGGACUGAUCGACCACAUUGGGACUGGGAGACGGCCCAAACUCCAACGGAAGGCAGCAGUAGGGAAUCUUCCACAAUGAACGAAAGUCUGAUGGAGCAACGCGGCGUGAGUGAAGAAGGUUUUCGGAUCGUAAGGCUCUGUUGUAGGUGAAGCGGUAAUCAACCAGAAAGUCACGGCUAACUACGUGCCAGCAGCCGCGGUAAUAC